GGAGUUGUGGCUCAGUGGUGGAGUGCUCGCCUAGCACAUGCGAGGCCCUGGGUUCGAUCCUCAGCACCA
rnacentral:tRNA from 1 species